rnacentral:rRNA from 1 species
AUGGCCAAGAUCUCCUUCCUCUUCGUGGCGCUCCUCGUCCUCGCCGUCGCGUUCCCCGUGAAGGUGAUGGGAGGUGGCGGCGGCGGCAAGCUCAAGCCAUGGGAGUGCCCGUCCAAGUGCUCGUCGCGGUGCUCGGGGACGCAGUACAAGAAGGCGUGCCUGACCUACUGCAACAAGUGCUGCGCCACCUGCCUCUGCGUGCCGCCGGGCACCUACGGCAACAAGGGCGCCUGCCCCUGCUACAACAACUGGAAGACCAAGGAGGGAGGCCCCAAGUGCCCCUAG